AACCAGUGAUACCUCUAGUUGGCUUCAAUGUUAGCUGCAGAAAAUGACCUUUGUGGACCUUUACCUCCAGGCUGGGAAAAAAGGAUGGAUUCAACAGACAGGGUCUACUUUGUGAAUCAUAAAACAAAAACAACCCAGUGGGAAGAUCCAGGAACUCAAGGCUUCCAGAACGCAGAACCCCUGCCAGAAGGCUGGGAAUUUUGUAUACUCAUGAGAGUGUUAGGUACUUUGUUGAUCAUAACACAAGAACAACAGCAUUUCAAGAUCCUUGCAAUAGGAAGUCAUUUGCAACUAAAGAUAGACCACAAAUUGCUUAUGAUUACAGCUUUAGGUGGAAACUUGCUCACUUCUAGUAUCUGUGCCAGUCUAAUGCACUACCGAGUCAUGUAAAGGUCAGUGUGUCCCGGCAGACAUUGUCUGAAGAUUCCUUCCAACAGAUUAUGACAUUAAAACCCAAGGCUUGUGGCAGUUAUAUAUAAUAUUUAGAGAAGAAGAAGAACUUCAUUAUCGUGGCCUAGCAAAAGAAUGGUUUCCUUGCUUUCAUAUGAAGUUUUGAACCCAAUGUAUUGCUUAUUUGAGUAUAUGGGCAAGAACAACUAUUGUCUGCAAAGAAAUCCAGCAUCAACCAUUAAUCCAGACCAUCUCUUAUGCUUCUGUUGUAUUGGUCAUUUUAGUGCCAUGAUGCUAUUUCAUGAAAAGUUUAUUGAUGGUGGUCUCUAGUUACCAUUCCAUAAGUGUAUGUUAAGUACAAAUCUUUUUAU
rnacentral:lncRNA from 1 species